rnacentral:rRNA from 1 species
AACGAACGCUGGCAGCAUGCCUAACACAUGCCAGUCGAACGAGACCUUCGGGUCUAGUGGCGCACGGGUGCGUAACGCGUGGGAACCUGCCCUUAGGUUCGGAAUAACUCCCCGAAAGGGGUGCUAAUACCGGAUAAUGUCUUCGGACCAAAGAUUUAUCGCCUUUGGAUGGGCCCGCGUUGGGUUAGCUAGUUGGUAGGGUAAAAGCCUACCAAGGCGACGAUCCAUAGCUGGUCUGAGAGGAUGAUCAGCCACACUGGGACUGAGACACGGCCCAGACUCCUACGGGAGGCAGCAGUGGGGAAUAUUGGACAAUGGGCGAAAGCCUGAUCCAGCAAUGCCGCGUGAGUGAUGAAGGCCUUAGGGUUGUAAAGCUCUUUUACCCGGGAUGAUAAUGACAGUACCGGGAGAAUAAGCUCCGGCUAACUCCGUG